rnacentral:sRNA from 1 species
GUUAAAUAAUAUCCUUUACUCUAAUGUGUCGAUAUUAACAUUAAUCCACAUUUUUUUUUGAAAAAAAUGUUAAAUUAUAUCUUUAGAAAAAUAACGUUGUUACAACUAGUGCAUCAGGCGUUUGAUAAAGAAAGUAUUGAAACUUAGAUUGAGUUUGCUAAAUCUUAGGAUCGG